GAGAAGAGCGGAGGGAGGGCCAGAGGGAGCCACGCCCACCGCGCCGAGGUCUGUGCGUGCUCCCGGCGCGGACCGGCGGCCGGGGCUGUCCACGGCGCUCUGUCCGCCUCAGCACGUCAGGAGUUAGGUAGGCUGAGUGCACCCGUCCAGGGGAGGCGUGGCAAGUCGCUCUUCCUUUGAAAGGAAAGUGUGUGUUGGGCCUUGGUAUCCGUUCAGUGUGAGAUGAUGCCAGGGUCAUUCUGGCUGUUGGGACGGCCACAAAUGUCUCAAGAGGCCAAAUACCCCCUUUGCGGGAAGGUCAUCCAGGUUGGAGCCGCUGUGAAGGAGACAAUCUGGGUUUUGGGGAAGUGACCCUUUUCAAAAGCCGGAAGCAAUGAAGUCUUGCCUACAUGAACGAUUUGUGGACGGGCUUGCCCGCUCAGAACUCUCGGUCCAGCUCCAGCUGCUCCAGUCGGGCGUCGGAGUCGCAGCCAGCCCCCGAACCCGAAAGAAGGCAGCGGUUGAAGGAGGAGAUCCAGGAAGAGAUCGCAGAGCAGAACCCCGUUUUGCUUAAGUUAAAGGUUGCAUGGGUCAUUUGUCGUGAAGAGGGACGCAAGGUUCACCUUUUUUGCAUAUGAGGCUACAGUAUUUGAGUAAGCUAGGAACCAAGAUUAUGUCGUUUAAUUUCUUUGAUUUCCUUUGAUGCGUAACAUCUGUAGCUUUGUGCUUUUGAAGGGGGGGCAUUAGCUGAUUAGUAGGCAAAACUGGACAAUGCAAUCCAUAUAGCCUAUUUUUAAGUGGACAUCGUUCUUACCCCUCAGGGUUAAAGAUUAUGACUGUUAAAGGGCUCGGGGUGGGGGGGGGUAAUAUACUGCAGGCAGUUUGUAGAACCUUUUUAAUACUUUUUAACGACUUAAGGUUCGCUUAGCAGCUCUGAGCAGCCUAUAACAAAUCUUGCCUUUGGCUUUUUUUUUUUUUUUUUUAAGAUUUUAUUUGUUUAUUUGACAGAGGGAGAGAGUGAGAGAAGGAACACAAGCAGGGCGAACAGAAAAAAGAGAAGCAGGACCCUGGAAUCAUGACAUGAGCCGAAGGCAGAUGCUUAAGGUCUGAGCCACCCAGGUGCCCCUUGCCUUCAGCUUUUAGGUCAACUAAUGAUUAGGAGGAAAGAACGAUAACUUAUUUGGAAUCCAAUUUAAAUUUCCCAAUUGAAAUAUGUCUGUGUUUGAAAACCACUUUCCCUGAGGAAGAGAGGUUGAACUUAACAGUGACAUCCAGUGUGUUUCCAUUUGAGACACAGAUAACCUCUCUGAUGAAUUUAUAGAUGCAAAGGACCUGAUUCACAAACAGCUCGUCUACCAAAAGAAGCCUAUAGACAAAAAAUGGAUGGACAUUUUUGGAGAGCUGGAAACAAAUUCCUACAAAUCUAAAAGCCUGCUAUUGCUCGUAAGUAAAAAUCCAAAGUAUUCUAUGCUCGAAUGUUUGUGCUGAGAGGCUGUUUGAGUUGAUGUUAUUGCAUUGGACUGACACCAGCAAUCGAUGUAAUGUGGGCUUGGUAAGAGCACAGCUGCAAGUCAAAGAGAACUUUAUAUUUGACUGGAUUCAGUUUUACUGCUACAUGAAAGAAAAGAAGGAUGUCCUAAAGGCUGCAAGCAGUUCACAGUAGUAUUAUUGGAAAAGAAAACAGAAAGUAAAAAUAUCCUGGAUUAUAAGACAGAAAGAAACAUGCCAUUGUCAUUUUAAAUAAAU